rnacentral:rRNA from 1 species
AUACGUAGGGGGCCAGCGUUGUCCGGAAUUACUGGGCGUAAAGGGUGCGCAGGCGGCUUGGUUAGUCAGUGGUGAAAGUUUGCAGCUUAACUGUAAAAUUGCCGUUGAAACUGUUGGUCUUGAGUGCAAAUGAGGUAGGCGGAAUGUGUUGUGUAGCGGUGAAAUGCUUAGAUAUGACACAGAACACCGAUUGCGAAGGCAGCUUACUGGGAUGCAACUGACACUGAUGCACGAAAGCGUGGGUAUCAAACAGGAUUAGAUACCCUGGUAGUCCACGCCGUAAACGAUGGGCGCUCGUCGUCGGCGGCAGACAGUCGGCGGCCAAGCGAAAGCGAUAAGCGCCCCACCUGGGGAGUACGGUCGCAAGGCUGAAACUCAAAUGAAUUGGCGGGG